ACAAACCAAACUCUGCCUCUGCCUUGCCCUCUGCCUACCGACAGCCUCUGGACCCUCCUGGUUCCCCCCCUCUGCCGCUCUGCUCAAACCUCAGAACAGAGAAACCAGUCGUGACCAGUCCUGGACCUGAUAACCCCCAGAAUCAGUGCUUUAUUCUCAUUGUGUCAAACAAUAAACUGUUGAACUUUU